CCCUUAGAUGUUCUGGGCCGCACGCGCGCUACACUGAUGCAUUCAUCGAGUUUACAACCUUGAUCGAUAGGUCUGGGUAAUCUUUUCAAUGUGCAUCGUGCUAGGGAUAGAUUAUUGCAAUUAUUAAUCUUGAACGAGGAAUUCCUAGUAAACGCAAGUCAUCAGCUUGCAUUGAUUACGUCCCUGCCCUUUGUACACACCGCCCGUCGCACCUACCGAUUGAAUGGUCCGGUGAAAUCUCGGGACGGCGGCUUGGUCGCUUGCGUCCGACUGCUGAAACUUGAUUAAACCAUAUCAUUUAGAGGAAGGUGAAGUCGUAACA
rnacentral:rRNA from 1 species